AUGAUCAAGGAUUUGCCAACAAAGGGGGUUAUUGUCAAUUAUCCUGACACAACAUUGGAGACUGAUGCUAAAGGCAGCUUGGUUCAACAUAACUUCAAGGACAUAAAGCCUGGGAAAGAUGCAGUUAGUCAUGACAAUGCCAGCAACAUUCAUUCAGAUGACCAAAUGAAAACACAUCAUCAGUUAGAAUGCUUCACAGAAGAAGUUACAGCAUCAUCUAACAUCAGUCCCGGACUUGUACAUUCAGACACUGAGGAAGAUAAAGGAAUCACAGACACUGUUCCAAAUGCAGGCCACAGAGAACAGUCGAAGCUUGGGAUGGUUGCUCCAGAGGAAGAGCUCGAUAUGCUUCUUAAUUCACUCGAUGGAACUCACCUUUCCAGCUCCAACUUAGACGAGUCGUUUGGAAGUGGUUCUGCUUUGGUAGGCAUGAAGAUCACCGAGUCAAAUGAGAAAGUCACGUCUAGCAGCACCGCGUCCAAAUCGCGGGCACUUUCUCCUGUUGAUGAUGAUCUAGAUGCCUUGCUUUCAGAGACAUCCUUGUCUGUCCAGAAUGAUGGUUCUGCUGCAUCAAGUUUAUCUUCUCGCCCAACUUUUGACUCCAAAAGCAACAUUGACUUCAGAUAUGCCAAGCAGAUUGAUGUAACAUCUAUCGAUGAUUCGGUGGAUGAUUUGCUUGGAGACACCCCGUUCUGCCUGAGCGACCAGAAAGAAGCUACACCUGUACAGGAGCAACAGAACAUCUCAAAUGCCGACGCGCCUCCACCUUCGGGCUCCUCAAAUGUAUCGGCUGACUUUGAUUCGUGGUUUGACUCGCUGUAG
rnacentral:rRNA from 1 species